rnacentral:sRNA from 1 species
CCAUAUAACAACAAUGUUGUAUAUCAGAAUGAUUUAUAUUUAUGUUGCACAAAGCAGCAAUUCUUAUAACUGGCUGUAGCAAAUCCUGUAUACCAUCCGGAAAAUCAUUAACGACAAUAUCCGCGCGGUUCAGUCUUCUUUGUAAAAUAUCAUUUUGACUUCGCAGCUGGGAAAUGGCACUACUCUGAUUCGACUCUAGCUUCCUGGUUACUGCCAGUCAAUUUUCAUGUUAUUCUUGUAGCUUCUUUACUAUGGUGUUAAAUUCCGUUUGGACUGUUUUUAUCAUUGCAUCCAUAUGAUCUUUCAUAUCUUGAACUUUCUUGCUUAUUUCCGAUUUAAAAGUAUCAAUCUGGUUUUCAAAAGACGAUGAAAAGUCAGUAAAUUGGCCACGAAGUUCGCUUGACAAAUUAGUGCUAUUAGCAGAAGGCAAAGAAAUAUUUGCUUCAACAGAGUCUUCGCUAACUAUGUUUAUUUUUUGCGAGUACAAUUUAGACAUUUGUAAGAAAGGUCUUAGUUUUAUGCAAAAAUGUGUGCUGCUCCUUAGUAAUCAUAGUCAUCGCAAACACAACAUCCAAUACUACACUGGUUUUUUUGUAUAUUGCUUGUAAAUUUAGGGCAUUUAUAAGCUUUGGUUUGCAAAGCCAUAUUUAAGGCAAAGAAAUGGUAUAUGGCAACUGAUGAGAGAAAAAUGCAACACCAAAACCAACCAGCCAAAUCCACAAAACAGCAAAUGGCGUUCAGCAACAGCCAAUGCAAAAGAAACGCAUUCACUCGUCCUUGGCGGAAAAAAACGCAUGUGAAUGGUACCAACACAAUUGCUGACACAGCCUCGGCAGAAAUGUAAACAAAAGCUCGGCGCCCAAUCACAAUUCAACCAGAAAGUUUUGCCAAUUGCAGUUCACGUGGACAAAUUCAGCUGACGUUCGCUUGUUUCAACUUACAAUUUAUAGUUGUUAGUUAUAGUAUGAAUUAGUAAAGUAAAACUGAUUGACUACACUUUAUUUUUCAAAUUAUAAUUCUUUUUUA